GGUUUCAAUGAUAAGUUCAGCAGCUGCACCCAUUGCACCAACUCCACCAAGUCCCAGCAAGGACACGGCCAGUUCUUCUUCGUUACACUGCCUCAAUCCCCUGCUCAGCCUUUUCAGUAAAUCAACAUUAACCUCAAGCACCCAUUUUGGUGUGCAAGCCACCAUCAAGCUCAAAAACCCUGAUACAUAUGCUCGUGCAGUGGUCGAAUCACAACCAAACGAUAUUUUCCCAUCCAGUGCGCUUGCAAGAAAUUCCAAGUGGCACCCAAGAACUUUUGGUCGUCGUUUUGAUGCUGAUGAUUCCGAGUCCACACCCCAUGCAGAUGUCCCACAAAACAACACAAAGUAUGCAAGUGCAUAACCUCCAAGCAUGGCAACUAGGCCUCCAGAUUCUCCACCGUCCUGCUCUGACCCAUGGGCUGAUAUAAACCAAGAGGGUAAAGUUUCUUGGAUUAAAGAUUGAACCAAACUCAAUCCACCUGAUAUCCAAACUAUAGAAGCUCCAAGUGAAGCUGCAAGCUUGACACGCAUCAUCGCUGCAGCAAGAGAAAUUUGUCCAUAUCUCAUCCCAUACUUAGUCCUCUUCAAUUUCUCCACUGUCUCUCUAGGUAGCCCACUAUUUGCAAUAUCUUUAACAGAAUGCAUUAGAAUAGAUAGAAUAUUUUCCGUCAUGAACAUGACAUCUCUGAUGGACCGAUGCACUCGUAAGUAGAGAAUUCCAGGGGCUACGGGGGAGAUCCCACCAGAGAAGUGAGAGCCAAAGCCAUGGCCUAGAAG
rnacentral:misc_RNA from 1 species